UACGAAGGGUGCAAGCGUUACUCGGAAUUACUGGGCGUAAAGCGUGCGUAGGCGGCGGGGCAAGUCAGAUGUGAAAUCCCGGGGCUCAACCCCGGAACUGCAUUUGAUACUGCCUUGCUCGAGUGCUGGAGAGGAGACUGGAAUUUACGGUGUAGCAGUGAAAUGCGUAGAUAUCGUAAGGAAGACCAGUGGCGAAGGCGAGUCUCUGGACAGCUACUGACGCUGAGGCACGAAGGCCAGGGGAGCAAACGGG
rnacentral:rRNA from 1 species